CUCCUCCGAUCUCUUGGGAGUGAAAACAUGUCUAAAGUGCCCUCUACAGUGGUGAGGACAUGCUGUAUGUGCCCUUUUUUUUCUUUCCGCCCCUGCCCUU